rnacentral:rRNA from 1 species
UACGUAGGUGGCGAGCGUUGUCCGGAUUUACUGGGCGUAAAGCGCGCGCAGGCGGACUGAUCAGUCUGGGGUGAAAUCUCACGGCUCAACUGUGAGCGGUCCCUGGAUACUGUCAGUCUUGAGAUGUCUAGAGGAGAGCGGAAUUCCCGGUGUAGUGGUGGAAUGCGUAGAUAUUGGGAGGAACACCAGUGGCGAAGGCGGCUCACUGGACCGGAACUGACGCUGAGGCGCGAAAGCGUGGGGAGCAAACAGG